GAGCUGCACUAGAAGACUACACUGCAGCCUACACACGUAGGACCUUCGGGGAUAAACAUUGAGCACCUUUGGUCAGAAGUGUAUCCAGUGCUACGUCAAGCCUGACAUUGAAGGGUUUCUGCUUCCACUAAGCUUCCUGGACGGAUGAAUCCACGGUGCUGAAAGGACUGUAAAAUUCAACAUACUGUGCCUCUCCCACAAAGGACUGUCAAGCUCCCACGCGGACUCACAGGGAGCUUAUAUUCCCCUUUGAUCUGCCGUGGGUAGCAUUGCUCUUUCCCCCCCCUCACCGCUAUGAGUCACUGACCCACUGCCCCCCCCCCCAGAGUCCCGGGGGCAGAUGUCCGUCAUCAGAGGCCGUCCGUCGAAUCAAUGGCCUUUUUUUUUUUUAUCCCCGUCCCCGGUCGUGACGUCCGUUCUACUUGGGUGACCUCUAGAUCAAGGAAGCGGCCCUGUACAAAGCCGCCCGUCCUCCCUUUUGUUCUUCACAAUGGCGCGCGUUGUGUGGAAGCCCCCUGAAGGUUAGGGGGGGGGGGGGCGGGUCCGAGCGCGUGCGUACGUAUGUGCGUGCCCAUCAUGAAAGAGAGAGGAGAGCACAGGAAGACGCACGCAAGCACCCUUUGAGCUUCCUUUAUCCUAUGUGGUAACACCCCCCCCCCACACAACCUCCAACUUCCACCCACCCCUGUGUGCUCAACCUCCUCUUUCAACCCCUGGACACUCACCGCCCACCCACCUGCACGGAUCGGCGUAGAGGAAGGACGCGGGGUCACGCCUGCAGCCGAAAUUAAGCAUGAGGCCCGGAACUCUCAAAAGUCGCUGUACCCAUCAUCAAGGGCCGGUUAUCCAUGAAAACCCUCACUGUUCCAGAGAGGAGCGAGGAACGCGUUGAUCGGGCCACGUCACCGGAGCGUGGCCGCUUCCCAAAGGAUGAAAACGACGAAGAAAGAAACAGGGUUGAGCCAGAAGGGAGGGCUUCUGGAUCCCGCACAGAAGAAUGAGGAUUUAGGCAUUCACUGCCGGGCAGAGUGUCUCAUGUCCAUGACUAUUGCUUGAAUAUUACAUUCGGCUGGCCUGCGAAGGAUGGGCUCCCCCUCUAUAGCUGGGUUCCUCCUGUGAUUUCUUUCCUUGGGGAGUUGUUUCCACGCCACCCUUGUUUUUCUUCCCACUGGGGAGUUUCUUUUUUUUUUAAACCACAACUGCUCACUUUUUAGGGGUUCAGACCUGGGUUUUUUUUUUUUUGCCCAAUUCUCCUUUCUGUUUCCCCUGUAAAGCAUCUAUGGGACAGUGUUUCUGUAAAGAGUGCUACACAAAUAAAACUGAACUGAACUGAAUUGAAUUUCAUGGUGAAGGGCAAUAUCUUUUUAUUCCAUAUCUAUUGCAGUGCAAAUAAACUUGUACAUUUACUUUUUUAUUUUAUUUAUGUCUGACACGGUAUUGACGAAUGAGAUGAGAGCGUAGUUCUGACAGCGCCGCGGGGCUGACCGGACUGAGUUA